CGUUUCUUUUCUAUUUCUCUUUUCUUCCAGCGGUUUCUUCAUCUUUGGUCUCUUCUUCCUUUCCUCCAUCUCUGCAUACCUUUUUCUGCGUUUUCAGUGGCUAGCAAGGUAAAGUUUAUUACUUUCCUAAGAAAAUGAAAGAGGAAGAAGUAAAUAGGUGCCAGAUUCAGGAGUGGUAUCCCAGAUUUAAAUCUGAUUCCAUAAAAACAAUGAUUCAUGAGCUGCCUGAAUCCUUUAUAGAGUACCUUAUUGAUGAUCAUGGUCCGUUCCUUCUCCCCCUUUCCAUUGAUGAUAAUGAUGCACUGCCUAAUAGGAUUCAUAAACCUGAAGAAGAGGAAGACUUUGAAGUAUCUGAAGGGUCUGAAGAUGAAUCAGAACAACCGUCACCUCCUCCUUCUUUCCCGGAACUGGAAAUGAAAAUCAAGGAAUCUAUAAAGUCCCUUGGGGGCUCUAUCUUCCCUAAGCUUAAUUGGAGUGCACCAAAAGAUGCUGCAUGGAUCAGUUCAACUGGGAAUCUUUGUUGCAACUCUUUCAGUGAGGUUGCAAUUUUACUACGGGCAUCGGAUUCUCUAGUCCAUGAUCUGUGCCAUGUGUAUGAUUCCUGCAGUGAUAAGACUGUCUCAAGGCCCCCAAAGUUUUUCCUUGCACUUCGCAAAUGGUACUCAUCCCUGCGCCCCGAGAUGGAAUUUCGCUGCUUUGUACGCAAUGGGAUCCUUGUGGGGGUCUCUCAGCGCGAGGUGACUGGAUUUUAUCCUGCUCUUGUUGAGAAGAAAGAUGAGUUGAUAACAAUAAUCCAGAGAUUUUUUAUAUAUAAGGUGAAGGGAAAUUUUGAAUCAGAAAGUUAUACUUUUGAUAUAUAUGUCACAAAUGAUGACCGGGUCAAGCUUUUGGAUUUCAAUCCUUGGGGAGCAUUUACCUUGCCUUUGCUUUUCGCCUGGGAGGAAUUGGAAGUUAAUUCGAAUGAAGAGGGAGAUCACUUGGAGUUUAGACUUGUAGAAAGCCAGUGUGGGGUUCGUCCUGGUUUGAAAACUGCUGUUCCUUAUGAUUACCUGGAUACUAGUCCAGGUAGUGGUUGGGAUGAGUUUCUUAAAAAGGCUGAUGAGGAAUUGGGACAACAGAUCAGGUCUCCUCAAGCAGGUGCUUGAUUGCUAGAUGUUCAAUGACGAUGGAAUGCUGGUGCACUUCAUUUGGACAAGUUAUCUUGUAGCUUUAAGCGAUUCACGUAUGGUGAAUUAUGUGAUAGUAGCGGCUUAUUCUUUUGGUACUCUAAGAUAAAGAGCCAAGGGUGGAUAACAUAUAAACAUGUAGAAUUGAAGUCUGGAAAGUGUGUUCCUUAUAAUAUCACAUUACAAAUAUGAGAAGAUAGAACAUCAAAAUAAGCAGGUAUGGUAAUAAGCUAUUUGAAUUUUUGAACUGUAAGUAGUAUAUCACCUGUCUGCCACUGGAAUGGCCAGUUUCCAUCUCACUGCCGCCAAACUUUAUCUGGGCCUGGAUCAACCUCUCCAUGAGAUAUAUAGAGCUUCCUUGCUCGUGGACUAAGAGGAUUUUCAAUUCUUUUAUUCCAAGGCAUAACUUGUAUGCAUGCGCUUCAUAUCUGCCUGGAGUUUGCUCCCAGAUAUAUAGCCAUCCUUGCUUCUGACCUCAAUUCCACGAGCCUGUUACCCAUUCUCAUUGAACGAUGAUUUGGCAGCAAAUCCAACUAGAAAACUCACAUUGAGCUGAAAAGGUGCCUUCCUCACCAUCGAAUCCAUUGUCUGUGCUCCUAGCUGUUAGACCUCACGUCCUUUUUCAUAUCAAACCUCAUUUGGAGAGAACCUAAUGUGUUGGACCAGGACUGUCUUCAUGAGAACUUGGGUUUUACUCAUUGUUAUGUAAUUUACUGUUAAUCAGAAAGGGCAGGGCACAACAUUCAUCAGUGUGUGUUGAUGAAUGUGUUUUGGAUUUUGUUUAAGCAAUCGACUUGCCAAUUUAAA